rnacentral:rRNA from 1 species
GAUGAACGCUAGCGGCAGGCUUAAUACAUGCAAGUCGAGGGGCAGCAUGAUUGUAGCAAUACAAUUGAUGGCGACCGGCAAACGGGUGCGGAACACGUACACAACCUCCCAAUAAGUGGGGAAUAGCCCAGAGAAAUUUGGAAUAAUACCCCGUAACAUAACGAUGUGGCAUCACAUUGUUAUUAUAGAUUUUUCGCUUAUUGAUGGGUGUGCGGCUGAUUAGAUAGUUGGCGGGGUAACGGCCCACAAAGUCUACGAUCAGUAGCUGAUGUGAGAGCAUGAUCAGCCACACGGGCACUGAGACACGGGCCCGACUCCUACGGGAGGCAGCAGUAAGGAAUAUUGGACAAUGGACGCAAGUCUGAUCCAGCCAUGCCGCGUGAAGGAUUAAGGUCCUCUGGAUUGUAAACUUCUUUUAUAAGGGACGAAAAAAGGCUUUUCUAAGUCGUCUGACGGUACCUUAUGAAUAAGCGCCGGCUAACUCCGUGCCAGCAGCCGCCGUAACAC